rnacentral:rRNA from 1 species
AGUGAACGCUGGCGGUAGGCCUAACACAUGCAAGUCGAACGGCAGCACAGUAAGAGCUUGCUCUUACGGGUGGCGAGUGGCGGACGGGUGAGGAAUACAUCGGAAUCUACUUUUUCGUGGGGAUAACGUAGGGAAACUUACGCUAAUACCGCAUACGACCUACGGGUGAAAGCAGGGGAUCUUCGGACCUUGCGCGAUUGAAUGAGCCGAUGUCGGAUUAACUAGUUGGCGGGGUAAAGGCCCACCAAGGCGACGAUCCGUAGCUGGUCUGAGAGGAUGAUCAGCCACACUGGAACUGAGACACGGUCCAGACUCCUACGGGAGGCAGCAGUGGGGAAUAUUGGACAAUGGGCGCAAGCCUGAUCCAGCCAUACCGCGUGGGUGAAGAAGGCCUUCGGGUUGUAAAGCCCUUUUGUUGGGAAAGAAAAGCAGCAGGUUAAUACCCCGCUGUUCUGACGGUACCCAAAGAAUAAGCACCGGCUAACUUCGUG